rnacentral:rRNA from 1 species
UACGGAGGGGGCGAGCGUUAUUCGGAAUUACUGGGCGUAAAGCGCACGUAGGCGGCUUGGUAUGUCGGGUGUGAAAUCCCCGGGCUCAACCUGGGAACUGCAUCCGAAACUGCCUUGCUAGAGUAUGGGAGAGGGAAGUGGAAUUCCCGGUGUAGCGGUGAAAUGCGCAGAUAUCGGGAGGAACACCGGUGGCGAAGGCGGGUCUCUGGGCAGUAACUGACGCUGAGGAGCGAAAGCGUGGGGAGCGAACAGG